CCUACGGGAGGCAGCAGUGAGGAAUAUUGGUCAAUGGACGAGAGUCUGAACCAGCCAAGUAGCGUGAAGGAUGACUGCCCUAAGGGUUGUAAACUUCUUUUAUAUGGGAAUAAAACGUUCCACGUGUGGGAUUUUGUAUGUACCAUAUGAAUAAGGAUCGGCUAACUCCGUGCCAGCAGCCGCGGUAAUACGGAGGAUGCGAGCGUUAUCCGGAUUUAUUGGGUUUAAAGGGAGCGUAGGUGGAUUGUUAAGUCAGUUGUGAAAGUUUGCGGCUCAACCGUAAAAUUGCAGUUGAAACUGGCAGUCUUGAGUACAGUAGAGGUGGGCGGAAUUCGUGGUGUAGCGGUGAAAUGCUUAGAUAUCACGAAGAACUCCGAUUGCGAAGGCAGUUCACUGGACUGCAACUGACACUGAGGCUCGAAAGUGUGGGUAUCAAACAGGAUUAGAUACCCGAGUAGUC
rnacentral:rRNA from 1 species